rnacentral:rRNA from 1 species
AGACAUGCAAGUCGUGCGACAGACCAGGAAUUGAUUACUUCGGUUUGAUUUUCCUGACGAUGAGCGGCGAACGGGUGCGUAACACGUGAGAAACCUGCCCUUAAGUUCGGGAUAGCCCUACGAAAGUAGGAUUAAUACCGAAUGUGGCCAAGGAAGGGCAUCUUCCCUUGGCUAAAGCUCGGUUAUAGAGCGCUUUUGGAUGGUCUCGCGGUCUAUCAGCUUGUUGGUGAGGUAACGGCUCACCAAGGCUCUGACGGAUAGCUGGUUUGAGAGGAUGGUCAGCCACACUGGAACUGAGACACGGUCCAGACACCUACGGGUGGCAGCAGUCGAGAAUCAUUCACAAUGGGCGAAAGCCUGAUGGUGCGACGCCGCGUGGGGGAUGAAGGUCCUAGGAUCGUAAACCCCUGUCAUCUGUGAGUAAGGCUCCCAAUAAAAGCUUGGGAGACUGAUAGGAGCAGAAGAGGAAGGGACGGCUAACUCCGUGCCAGCAGCCGCGGUAAUACGGGGGUCCCAAGCGUUGUUCGGAUUCACUGGGCGUAAAGGGUGCGUAGGCGGCAGAAUUAGUUUGGUGUGAAAGCUCCGGGCUCAACCCGGAAAAGGCACUGAAUACUAUUUUGCUAGAGGAUCGGAGAGGAGACUGGAAUUCUCAGUGUAGCAGUGAAAUGCGUAGAUAUUGAGAGGAACACCAAUGGCGAAGGCAGGUCUCUGGACGAAUCCUGACGCUGAGGCACGAAAGCUAGGGGAGCAAACAGGAUUAGAUACCCUGGUAGUCCUAGCCGUAAACGGUGCGCAUUUGCUGUGGGUGGAAUCGACCCCAUCCGUGGCGGAGCUAACGCGUUAAAUGCGCCGCCUGGGGAGUACGGUCGCAAGGCUAAAACUCAAAGAAAUUGACGGGGGCCUGCACAAGCGGUGGAGAUGUGGCUUAAUUCGAUGCAACGCGAAGAACCUUACCUGGCCUUGACAUGUAGUGACCGGGUGCGAAAUCACCCUUUCUUCGGGACUGCUACACAGUGCUGCAUGCUGUCGUCAGCUCGUGUCGUGAGAUGUGGGUAGUCCCGCACGAGCGCACCCCGUGUCUGUGCACCGAUGAAAUCGGAGCACUCUGACAGACUGCUGUUCAUCAGGAGAGUGGGAUGACGUCAGUCAAAUGGCUACGCAGCUGCCACGUACUACAAUGGCCGGAGAUAAAUGGGAGAAGAAGAAACCCCCCG